GCCACUGUGGCUCAGCGGUAGAGCAUCGGUUUCGUAAACCGGUGGCCGGGGGUUCGAAUCCCUCCAGUGGCUCCA
rnacentral:tRNA from 1 species